rnacentral:rRNA from 1 species
AGUGAACGCUGGCGGUAGGCCUAACACAUGCAAGUCGAACGGCAGCACAGUAAGAGCUUGCUCUUACGGGUGGCGAGUGGCGGACGGGUGAGGAAUACAUCGGAAUCUACUUUUUCGUGGGGGAUACCGUAGGGAAACUUACGCUAAUACCGCAUACGACCUACGGGUGAAAGCAGGGGAUCUUCGGACCUUGCGCGAUUGAAUGAGCCGAUGCCGGAUUAGCUAGUUGGCGGGGUAAAGGCCCACCAAGCCGACGAUCCGUAGCUGGUCUGAGAGGAUGAUCAGCCACACUGGAACUGAGACACGGUCCAGACUCCUACGGGAGGCAGCAGUGGGGAAUAUUGGACAAUGGGCGCAAGCCUGAUCCAGCCAUACCGCGUGGGUGAAGAAGGCCUUCGGGUUGUAAAGCCCUUUUGUUGGGAAAGAAAAGCAGCAGGUUAAUACCCCGCUGUUCUGACGGUACCCAAAGAAUAAGCACCGGCUAACUUCGUG